CAGUUGUGCCGCCAGGCGCAUCGCUGGGUAGCUAAGUAUGGCCGGGAUAAACGCUGAAAGCAUCUAAGUGUGAAGCCCCCCACAAGAUGAGAUUUCCCAUUCCUUUAUGGAAGUAAGACCCCUGAAAGAUGAUCAGGUAGAUAGGUUGGAAGUGGACGUGUCGUGAGGCAUGGAGCGGACCAAUACUAAUCGGUCGAGGACUUAACCAAG
rnacentral:rRNA from 1 species